AUUGAACGCUGGCGGCAGGCUUAACACAUGCAAGUCGAGCGGAGUGAUGGUGCUUGCACUAUCACUUAGCGGCGGACGGGUGAGUAAUGCUUAGGAAUCUGCCUAUUAGUGGGGGACAACAUCUCGAAAGGGAUGCUAAUACCGCAUACGUCCUACGGGAGAAAGCAGGGGAUCACUUGUGACCUUGCGCUAAUAGAUGAGCCUAAGUCGGAUUAGCUAGUUGGUGGGGUAAAGGCCUACCAAGGCGACGAUCUGUAGCGGGUCUGAGAGGAUGAUCCGCCACCCUGGGACUGAGACACGGCGCAGGCUCCUACGGGCGGCAGCAGUGGGGAAUAUUGGACAAUGGGGGGAACCCUGAUCCAGCCAUGCCGCGUGUGUGAAGAAGGCCUUAUGGUUGUAAAGCACUUUAAGCGAGGAGGAGGCUCUUUUGGUUAAUACCCAAGAUGAGUGGACGUUACUCGCAGAAUAAGCACCGGCUAACUCUGUGCCAGCCGCCGCUGUAA
rnacentral:rRNA from 1 species